UUAAGCGACUAAGCGUACACGGUGGAUGCCCUGGCAGUCAGAGGCGAUGAAGGACGUGCUAAUCUGCGAAAAGCGUCGGUAAGGUGAUAUGAACCGUUAUAACCGGCGAUGUCCGAAUGGGGAAACCCAGUGCAAUUCGUUGCACUAUCGUUAACUGAAUACAUAGGUUAACGAGGCGAACCGGGGGAACUGAAACAUCUAAGUACCCCGAGGAAAAGAAAUCAACCGAGAUUCCCCCAGUAGCGGCGAGCGAACGGGGAGCAGCCCAGAGUCUGAAUCAGCUUGUGUGUUAGUGGAACGGUCUGGAAAGUCCGACGGUACAGGGUGAUAGUCCCGUACACCAAAAUGCACAGGCUGUGAACUCGAAGAGUAGGGCGGGACACGUGGUAUCCUGUCUGAAUAUGGGGGGACCAUCCUCCAAGGCUAAAUACUCCUGACUGACCGAUAGUGAACCAGUACCGUGAGGGAAAGGCGAAAAGAACCCCGGCGAGGGGAGUGAAAAAGAACCUGAAACCGUGUACGUACAAGCAGUGGGAGCACCUUCGGGUGUGACUGCGUACCUUUUGUAUAAUGGGUCAGCGACUUAUAUUCUGUAGCAAGGUUAACCGUAUAGGGGAGCCGCAGGGAAACCGAGUCUUAACUGGGCGUUAAGUUGCAGGGUAUAGACCCGAAACCCGGUGAUCUAGCCAUGGGCAGGUUGAAGGUUGGGUAACACUAACUGGAGGACCGAACCGACUAAUGUUGAAAAAUUAGCGGAUGACUUGUGGCUGGGGGUGAAAGGCCAAUCAAACCGGGAGAUAGCUGGUUCUCCCCGAAAGCUAUUUAGGUAGCGCCUCGUGAACUCAUCUUCGGGGGUAGAGCACUGUUUCGGCUAGGGGGUCAUCCCGACUUACCAACCCGAUGCAAACUACGAAUACCGAAGAAUGUUAUCACGGGAGACACACGGCGGGUGCUAACGUCCGUCGUGAAGAGGGAAACAACCCAGACCGCCAGCUAAGGUCCCAAAGUCAUGGUUAAGUGGGAAACGAUGUGGGAAGGCACAGACAGCCAGGAUGUUGGCUUAGAAGCAGCCAUCAUUUAAAGAAAGCGUAAUAGCUCACUGGUCGAGUCGGCCUGCGCGGAAGAUGUAACGGGGCUAAACCAUGCACCGAAGCUGCGGCAGCGACACUAUGUGUUGUUGGGUAGGGGAGCGUUCUGUAAGCCUGCGAAGGUGUGCUGUGAGGCAUGCUGGAGGUAUCAGAAGUGCGAAUGCUGACAUAAGUAACGAUAAAGCGGGUGAAAAGCCCGCUCGCCGGAAGACCAAGGGUUCCUGUCCAACGUUAAUCGGGGCAGGGUGAGUCGACCCCUAAGGCGAGGCCGAAAGGCGUAGUCGAUGGGAAACAGGUUAAUAUUCCUGUACUUGGUGUUACUGCGAAGGGGGGACGGAGAAGGCUAUGUUAGCCGGGCGACGGUUGUCCCGGUUUAAGCAUGUAGGCUGAUUGUCCAGGCAAAUCCGGAUAAUCAAGGCUGAGGUGUGAUGACGAGGCACUACGGUGCUGAAGUAACAAAUGCCCUGCUUCCAGGAAAAGCCUCUAAGCAUCAGGUAACAUCAAAUCGUACCCCAAACCGACACAGGUGGUCAGGUAGAGAAUACCAAGGCGCUUGAGAGAACUCGGGUGAAGGAACUAGGCAAAAUGGUGCCGUAACUUCGGGAGAAGGCACGCUGGUGUGUAGGUGAAGUCCCUGCGGAUGGAGCUGAGACCAGUCGAAGAUACCAGCUGGCUGCAACUGUUUAUUAAAAACACAGCACUGUGCAAACACGAAAGUGGACGUAUACGGUGUGACGCCUGCCCGGUGCCGGAAGGUUAAUUGAUGGGGUUAUCCGUAAGGAGAAGCUCUUGAUCGAAGCCCCGGUAAACGGCGGCCGUAACUAUAACGGUCCUAAGGUAGCGAAAUUCCUUGUCGGGUAAGUUCCGACCUGCACGAAUGGCGUAAUGAUGGCCAGGCUGUCUCCACCCGAGACUCAGUGAAAUUGAACUCGCUGUGAAGAUGCAGUGUACCCGCGGCAAGACGGAAAGACCCCGUGAACCUUUACUAUAGCUUGACACUGAACAUUGAGCCUUGAUGUGUAGGAUAGGUGGGAGGCUUUGAAGCGUGGACGCCAGUCUGCGUGGAGCCAACCUAUCGCGGCCAAAGUUCGGCGGGAUCUCUAUCGCCACCGCCAGCUCGCCGUCGCGCAUCCGGCGGUCCAGUUCGUCAUAGCUGUGCAGCGGCGCCUGUUCGAUAAAGUAGCGUGAGCCAGCGAGAUUCUGCGACCAGCCCUGGCUGCUGAGGGUUUGAUCGCGGUCGAGGACGGCAAAGCGCAGAUCCUCAACGUCCAUGCUGAUCCCAUACCCCAUGAUAAACAUCAGGAUCACCGUCCCCAGCAGCGCCAGCGUCGAUCGUACCGGAUCGCGGCGCAGCUCCAGCGCCUCGCGGCGGCUAUAGCUAAACAGCCGGCGAAGACUGAAGGCCUGCCGUGGAGUCGUGUGUCGGGAAUACGAUGCCACAGCAGACGUGGGUUCUUCUGGUACUGGAGAGGACGGCUGGGCCUCUUUAAGCCAGGCGAUAAACGCCUCUUCCAGGCUGUUUGAACCGCGCUGCUCGACCAGCGCCUGCGGCGUAUCGCUGGCCAGCACUUUGCCGGCGUGCAUCAGGGAGAUACGAUCGCAGCGUUCCGCCUCAUUCAUAAAGUGGGUGGAGAUAAAAAUGGUCACUUGAUCCUGCCGCGCGAGGUCUACCAUCAGCUGCCAGAACAUAUCCCGCGCCACCGGGUCGACGCCGGAGGUCGGCUCGUCGAGGAUCAGCAUCUCCGGGCGAUGGAUGACCGCCACCGCUAACGACAGGCGCUGACGGAUCCCCAGCGGCAGAUCGGCGGGAAGCG
rnacentral:rRNA from 1 species